ACGAUUCUUCGGAUGAAGUCUCUUGUGACUGAGUGGCGGACGGGUGAGUAACGCGUGGGUAACCUGCCUCACACAGGGGGAUAACAGUUGGAAACGACCGCUAAUACCGCAUAAGCUGCCGGUGCCGCAUGGCACUGACGGAAAAGAUUUUAUCGGUGUGAGAUGGACCCGCGUCUGAUUAGCCAGUUGGCAGGGUAACGGCCUACCAAAGCGACGAUCAGUAGCCGGCCUGAGAGGGUGAACGGCCACAUUGGGACUGAGACACGGCCCAGACUCCUGCGGGAGGCAGCAGUGGGGAAUAUUGCACAAUGGGGGAAACCCUGAUGCAGCGACGCCGCGUGAGUGAAGAAGUAUUUCGGUAUGUAAAGCUCUAUCAGCAGGGAAGAAAAUGACGGUACCUGAUUAAGAAGCCCCGGCUAACUACGUGCCAGCAGCCGCGGUAAUACGUAGGGGGCAAGCGUUAUCCGGAUUUACUGGGUGUAAAGGGAGCGUAGACGGUGAUGCAAGUCAGAAGUGAAAGCCCGGGGCUCAACUCCGGGACUGCUUUUGAAACUGUGUGACUGGAGUGCAGGAGAGGUAAGCGGAAUUCCUGGUGUAGCGGUGAAAUGCGUAGAUAUCAGGAGGAACACCAGUGGCGAAGGCGGCUUACUGGACUGUAACUGACGUUGAGGCUCGAAAGCGUGGGGAGCAAACAGGAUUAGAUACCCUGGUAGUCCACGCC
rnacentral:rRNA from 1 species